rnacentral:rRNA from 1 species
CCUACGGGUGGCAGCAGUGAGGAAUAUUGGUCAAUGGGCGAGAGCCUGAACCAGCCAAGUCGCGUGAGGGAGUACUGCCCUAUGGGUUGUAAACCCCUUUUGUCGGGGAGCAAAAGCCGGACGUGUCCGGCUGUGAGCGUACCCGAUGAAAAAGCAUCGGCUAACUACGUGCCAGCAGCCGCGGUAUUACGGAGGAUGCGAGCGUUAUCCGGAUUUAUGGGGUUAAAGGGGUGCGCAGGCGGAGUGUUAAGUCAGCGGUCAAAUCGUGGGGCUCAACCCCAUCCAGCCGUUGAAACUGGGGAGCUGGAGUGUGCGAGAGGUAUGCGGAAUGCGUGGUGUAGCGGUGAAAUGCAUAGAUAUCACGCAGAACCCCGAUUGCGAAGGCAGCAUACCGGUGCACAACUGACGCUCAGGCACGAAAGCGUGGGUAUCGAACAGGAUUAGAUACCCCUGUAGUC